GACGAACGCUGGCGGCGUGCUUAACACAUGCAAGUCGAGCGGUAAGGCCCUUUCGGGGGUACACGAGCGGCGAACGGGUGAGUAACACGUGGGUGACCUGCCCUCAGCUCUGGGAUAAGCCUGGGAAACCGGGUCUAAUACUGGAUAUGACUCCAUGACGCAUGUUGUGGGGUGGAAAGCCUUGUGCGGCUGAGGAUGGGCCCGCGGCCUAUCAGCUUGUUGGUGGGGUGAGGCCUACCAAGGCGACGACGGGUAGCCGGCCUGAGAGGGCGACCGGCCACACUGGGACUGAGACACGGCCCAGACUCCUACGGGAGGCAGCAGUGGGGAAUCUUGCGCAAUGGGCGAAAAGCCUGACGCAGCGACGCCGCGUGAGGGAUGACGGCCU
rnacentral:rRNA from 1 species